rnacentral:piRNA from 1 species
UGCAUGCCACCCAGGAAACCUGCAAGC